GGAGGUAGCGACAAGAAAUACCGAUAGAUAGCACAAUAGUGUUAUCUUAUUGGAAUGACAUUUAUUUAAACGUUAAACGGAGUAACGAUUGGAGGGCAAGUCUGGUGCCAGCAGCCGCGGUAAUUCCAGCUCCAAUAGCGUACACGAACGUUGUUGCAGUUAAAACGCCCGUAGUCUGAAUUGUGGGGUUUUUGGAAUUUUUUUGCAAUCCUUUGUAAGAAAUUCCAAGGGACCUCAUCUGGAAGUGCAUACCUUGAGUGGUCUUGAUUGAUUGCUUGAGGUUGUGCACUUGAACUUUACUGUGAAAAAAUUAGAGUGUUUCAAGCGUUUUUUGUGAAAGGAUAGCUUAGCAUGGUAUAAACGAAUCGAGGCCAUUUCAUGUUUGGUAUAGGAGCAUGAAAUGUUUAGCCAAAAAAAUCAACAGGGGUAGUUGGGGCCAUUUGUAUUCCAUAGUCAGAGGUGAAAUUCUUGGAUUUUUGGAAGACAUACUGCUGCGAAAGCGUUUGGCAAGGAUAUACCCAUUGAUCAAGGACGAAAGUUAGGGGAUCGAAGACGAUUAGAUACCGUCGUAGUCUUAACCAUAAACGAUGCCAUCUAAGAGAUGGUGUAUUGAAUGAUAAAAUCGUACAUCCUUUUUUUCCGGGAAACCAAAGCUUUUGGGUUCUGGGGGGAGUAUGGUCGCGAGUCUGAAACUUAAAGGAAUUGACGGAAGGGCACCACCAGGAGUGGAGCCUGCGGCUUAAUUUGACUCAACACGGGGCGACUUACCAGGUCCGGACAUUUUUAUGAUUGACAGAUUGAUAGCUCUUUCUUGAUUGAAUGGGUGGUGGUGCAUGGCCGUUCUUAGUUGGUGGAGUGACUUGUCUGGUUAAUUCCGUUAACGAACGAGACCUUUUCCUGCUAACUAGUUUUAUUUAUUUUCUUUGAAAGGAAAUGGAUAAACUUCUUAGAGGUACUAUUCGUUUUUCACGGAUGGAAGUUGUAGGCAAUAACAGGUCUGUGUUGCCCUUUGAUGUCCUGGGCUGCACGCGGGCUACACCGAUGCAUUCAAAGAGUAUUUUUGUACCUACUCUGACAAGAGUUAUUUUGGGUAAUCUUUGAAAGUGCAUCGUGCUUGGGAUUGAAUUCUGUAACUGUAUUCAUGAACGAGGAGUUCCUUGUAAACGCGAGUCAUCAACUUGCGUUGAAUACGUCCCUGCCCUUUGUACACAC
rnacentral:rRNA from 1 species